AUAAAUGGGCCUAGGUCAUCCUGGAUACAGAGUCUAAGGACAUGUUACGAGCACGCCAAGACCUGACACUGACCUGCCUCCACGCCCAUCAGCUCACUUCCCCGAAGCGAGUCAGACCACGGUUUCUUCAUCCUCUCCCAGAGACUGAAUAAACAUUCGGCAAUCCUUUCAUUACAGCAACGGCCAGUGGCUCGGCUCCUGGGAUGUGGAGCACAGCUAAUGAGCCACUCAAAGGGGAAACAAGAAGUCCUUUACUUGCUUCGUAACAUAGGACAAAAGAGCGGAUGCACAAGCCGGAAUGGGGAAGAGGCAGAGGGGGAGCAAGGAGCCUGAUGCAGGAUUCGAUCCAGGACCCAAGGACCAUGACCUGAGCUGAAUGCAGACGCUUAACUGACUGAGGCACCCAGGCAUCUGAGAAGUUUUAAAAAGGAAGCAGAAGGAACCAGAGCCAGAAUUAGAGUCAAUCCUGUCAAACCCUGCUGCUGCUUUCUCAGCAAAGUUGAUGUAAGAUACUAAAUCCUUUGUGGUCACUGCAACAGUCUUCACGGCAUCUCCGCCAGGAGCGGAUUCCAGCUCAAGAAUCCACUUUCCUGGCUCAUCCACGAGAAGCAGCUCCUCGUCCGUCCAAGUCUGAUCAUGAGACGGCAGCCGUGCGGGCCCAUCUUCCCGCCCCACUUCUAACUCCAGUUCUCUUGCUGUUUCCACCCCCCUCUGCGGUGACUGCCUCCGUGGACGCCCUGAACCCCUCCAAGUCCUCCAGGACGGUGGGAACCAAACUCCGGUGAAUGUGGAUAUUUUGACCUCUUCCCAUCAAUCAUGAAUGUUCUUAAAGGCAUCUAGAAUGGUGAAUCCUUUCCAGAAGAUUUUCAGUGGACUUUGCCGAGAUCUAUCAGACGGAUCAGUUUCUAUGACAGCGAGAGCUUUUCAAAACGUAUUUCUUCAAUAAAUAGACUUGAGAGUUGAAGUUAUUCCCCGAUCUGUGACCCAGAGGCAAAGUAAGCAAAGGCUGUUGGGAAAAUGGCACCCGUAGGCUUGCUCAAGGCAGGGUGGCCACAGACCUUCAGUUUGUAAAAGGCGCAGGAUCUGUGAAGUACGAGACGAGGGAUGCUUGUACUGAGUACCCUUUAAAAAAUGGCCCACGUGUCCACUGAGGCAGCUGUAUGAGUGAGAUGGGUGGAAGCGCUCCUCUUGUUCCAUGUCUUCACCGCAUUUGGUACCGUCAGUGAUUUCUACUUGAGUGGUUCACUGUGGUAAUGACAUUGUCCUGUGGGGUCUGCUCUGACAAACACUAUCAUCAUCACGUGGACUACUUAGACAGAAGCCACAGGACUGGGGGCUUUUCCCCAGUGCCUGGCAGGGCAGCUGUGACAAAGUUAAAACCUCCAGAAGGAAAACUCUGAAGCCAACACAAACUCCACUCACCACACUCCAUCCCCACCCAAGGGAGGGAACUCUUAUUUCAGGGCAUGUAGAAUGGGGUGAUUUUUAAAAAAAUCUAUGGAAAACAUUUAAACUCUUGUUUACUCCCUACCGGGUAAGGAGACAGCUCCCAAUUUUCCCAAACAGGCUGUUUGGGAAAGAGAGAAAGGUGAGGCUUGACAUCCUCUGGAUUAUUAACUUAUCCUUUUCCAGCUAGUGGUCAUUUUGAUUUCCUAUUUUGCUCCUUAGCACCCCAUUUUAGAGACCACUGAUUUCCUGAGGUGGUUUUUUGAAUAAGAAGAUAAUUCUUACCACAUAGCACGGGGCCUGGUACACAAAAUUAAGGCAAGGAAAUAAGCUAUCACUGUUCAGAAAUGUGGGACUCAUGUCCAAAGUGAGGUCAGGUUUAAAACUGGUUGUGUAUAAUUUUAAAAAUAUGCGAUCUAUACUCUCUUCUACCUUCGAGAACAAAAGAAAUGACAUUCACUGAAGACAUGCAUGUAGCCUCUGUCUUCUGUGUUUUGGGGCAGUUGUCCUGCAGGGGGGCUGGGGAGGGCUGCAGGGACACCAUGGUACCUGCUCUGACUCUCCUUCUGUAGAGGUGGGCCUGCUGGUUUCCAGAAAUUAUGCUGAGGGUCUGAGUGUCUGUGGCACAGUGCUUAUUUCAUGUGUUUAUAGACAACUUCAACAAUUACUAUUUCUAGAUUGCGAUUCUCAUGUGGUUGCACAGAAAGGCAAAAGAGUCACUGUGUUGUCACAGAAAGUCAUCCAUUUUUCUGAGAGAAAAAUUCGAUGCCUCACAGUUACAACUACUGUGGUAAUUUGGAAUAUUAGGUUCAACGUUAAGGCACAGUAUUUAGGACAGAUACUGAUAAAGAUGGCCCAUCUCACCUAUUCACCAUCUGAGUGACAGGCCCCUAGAUGAGAGACGAGUGUCCCUCAUCAUGAUUACGAGUAGCUGGCUCCUGACUCUAGAAGGUUCAGAGACCCAGGGGCUGGCUCCUGGUGUAUUGAAAGCUGCCCUCUUGUCCUUGCAGAGGGCAGGGCUCUGGAACCGAGAGGGGCUGCUUCACUUCACUCGUUCCUUGGCUGCCUGGUGUCAGAAUACACACCCUUGUGACACAGCCUAUGGGUCACCUGCUCUUCCUACGCUAGAAUACGAAGGUGUUUCACUCAUUCCUCUUCCCACAGAAGUGGAUGAAAUCAACGUCUCGAAUCAAGAUCUUGGCAGAGGGACUACUGAGGAAGGGCAUCUGAAAGACCAAAGAG